CAAAUUGGAGCAAAACGGAUUUUUAGAAAAUCCCAAGUGUGGAAAUGGCUUUUUUAAACUGGUUUAUAACUUAAAGGUUAUUUUUAAACACUUUUGGGCCAAAAGCCCAAACCUUAAGGCAAAUAAAUAAAAGAAAAUGCACUUGAACCUUAGUUGGCUCUGGAAUGGAAUAUGGUUGACCAAUUGAGCUUAAAAUGGACUAAAACAAAUAAAUAAACUGUUUUCCCUAUUUAUACUUACAACCUAUAUUAUUUAUAUGGACAUAUACUCCAUUUAUUUUCCUAUACAUAUACAAAACUUAUAAGGACAAAAUCAUGACAUUAGGAUCAAAUUAGUAGGAACUCUACUUAAGAGAAAAUCUUAAGUGUGUUUUGGUCCGAAAAUGAAGUAAAUUUAACCCGCUUAUAACAUUUUCUCAAAAAGAAACCAACGAUUUCUCCUUAAAGGAUAUUUUUCCAAAAAAUGGAGUUUUAUGAUUAGCAUGACAGUUUUUCAAUAAAGAAAAUAUUUUAGCAAAUAAUCACAAUUAAUCAUACCUUGAAGCUCGAAGGUCAACCGUAUUCUACAGAUCCUUAAUACUAGGGUGUUUAAAACCUUCCCUAAGAGAUCACUAGAAUCCUUACCUCGAACUCUGGUUUUAAAAGGAUUUUUCUUUGUUUGAAUAAACCCUUUUUACUCGGUUUUCCUAAUUUCCUUUAUAAAAUUAGGUGGUGAUUCUAAAAAAUACGAAAAUCCAAAUAGAGUCCGCAACUUCUUAGUAGCUUUUAUGCGUCCGCGAAAGUGAACCGUAAUAGUUAUUUUGGACAUUAAAUAGAUUCUUCGAAUUAUCAAAACAAAAACUACAAAUCAAACUAGAAAGUAAAGACAAAGAAUUGAGUUACUAUAAGGUAAACACCUAGAUUACAAACCAAGAGAGAAAAAGAUUGAUAUGCACCAUAAUAUUUUAAGUAUUUUACAUAAAAUUAUACAUGUAGUCGGUUUGGUUCGGGUUUUUUCGAUUUUUUUUGCUUAAAAUCAAAACGAAACCAAAUAAAAAAGCAUCGGUUUUUUUUGGUAUGGUUUGGUUUGAUUUUUUUAUUUUUCCUGAACACCCCUAGUAAAGAUGUACAUAAUAGGAAAGCUUAUGGUUCUUCAUUUGUGCAUGCAUAUUAAUUCAUUUGUGAGUGCGAGAGUUGUUCGUUGAUAAUGUUGUGUCCUUAAUUUACAUUUGAGUGUGUGGACUUUUUCUUCAUGUGACAGCACUUGUUUCAUGAUAGAUAGGUGAUGUUAUUAGCUUUCUUUGAAAGAGUAGGUGAGUAAGCUUCAACGUGAUGAGUUAGAGUCUGUCCUAAGGUUAGGAGCAGUGGCGGAUUCAGGAUUUCCACUCAGGGUGUUCGGAAAAUAACUGAACCACUUGAGCUAGCCUUUUACAUUUGUUCAGGAUGUUCAAAAGUUAAUAUAUGUACAUGAACACAGAAAAUUUAUCCUAAAUAUACAUUGUAAUUUUUUGUCCAAGGUGUUCGGGUGAACACCCUAGGCUAGGAGUACAUCCGCCCCUGGUUAGGAGUCUAAAAGUAUGUUAUUUACUUGAGUUGACUUGUACAUCUUGCAUGAUGAUAAAAAAAAAAAAAAAAAAAAAAAAAAAAAAUGUAUAUUUGAUGGUUUAAUUUGCUAUAGAACCUAAUUGUUGUCUCAACCUAUGUCAUGGGUAGGAGGAUUUAGAGUGCUAGCUUAAGUGAUUGUAAGUUUAGAGUGUCAGAAAUUGCUCGAGGACAAGCAAAGGUUCAAGUGUGGGGUUGUGAUCGGCAACUAGAAGUACAUAUUUUUAGCUACAUUCCUCCUCAUAUUUCAUACUCUUUUCUUUUGGUUAAAUUCAUUUUAUUCGCUUUAUUUUUAAUAUUUGCGUUUUACUGUUACCGGAGGUGAUUAGAUGACAAGAUGAUGAUUUUGAUGCUAAAAAGUGAUGAAAGUGGCUUUGAAAUAGGAGUAGAAGUCAAUAUCAAAGAUUGGGAUCGAGUUAGGACCCGGGGGCCAAAUACGCAUGAGAAGAAGUUGAAAAAAUGAGUAUCGUAAGAAAUGGCAUGGUGCACUGUCCCACCUAGCAGGGAGUGCAUCGCAUCGGUGCAAGUUUUAUAAAACCUGUAGAUUCUAACUAUUUGAAGUUUUGACUUGGUGCUUAGUGUCAUGCGCCACCCCUUGCGGCACAUCAAAUCAUAUUCUGCGCAAUCCGGUCGCUUUUGCGAAAUAGGGCUCAUUUGCAAUAACCGGUAUUGCGAAAAAAGCAGACUUCUGGGGGUUCUCCUUUUGCAAGGGAUUUUCCGCAAUUGCGAGGGUCGAAUUGGACCGAGGAGGAGGAUGAGGGAAAGGGCGUGAGGAGCAGGGGGUUUGUGUAGAAUGUAGAUAAUAAAUUUUUAAAAGGAAAAUUUAUUUGUCAUAGUUAUCUCUAAGACUUAUUUAUGAAUAAUAACUGUCUUAUGUUUUAUUUAAUUUUUGUAGCUUUAUUUUUCCAAAAUUACAUUUCAUAACUGGUCCAAUAACUUUUGAAAUACAUGUACCUCUGUAUUCUCCCUCACUACAUAUUUAAGAUUUAUCAUCUUCUCCAAAUCCUAAAAAAAAAAUCUCUCUCCUCUCUCCCCUUCCCCUCACUGCCGCCUCUCUCCCUCCCUUUCUCUAUCUCGGACCUCUCUUCUCCUUCAGCCAAAAUUCGUGAGGCAACUGAGCGUUAAAGCUCGUAGAAACUGUAGCAACGUCGUUGUUGCACAAGUUGUUGCUGCUUCCUAGUCGAAUAACAACCAUGACUUUACUCCGGCGGCUGCUAAAGCCGUUGAUGCCGCUGCCAUUGCUCAUGUUGUUGAUGAUGAUGAGGUGGCAGCGACGGUGGUGGAACGACCCCAAAUCUGACAAUACACUCAGAUCUGAAAAAGAGGGAGAAGUGGGUUUCACCGGAGCCACCACUACCACCACCACUAUUACUACCAUCUCCAUCUCCAUCUCCAAACUCGUAAAAAACAUUAAGGUUCUAGUUCUUCAGAUCUGAACUCCAUAUGUUUCAUGUAUUAAUGAUUUUUGGUAGUGGUUCGGUAUGGUUUUUGGAGUGGAGGAGGACAGUGGUGGAUCGAAGAAAGGCGGCGGAGGAAGGAAGAGGUUUUUUCUAGUUUGUUGUGGUGGUUCGGUAGGGUUUUUGGAGUAAAGCAGGAUGGUUGAUCGGAAGAAAGGCGGCGGAGGAAGGAGGAAGGUUUUUCCAGUUGUUGUGGUGGUUCGGUAGGGUUUGUGAUUGUGGUGUUUCAAUAUAUUUCUGUGUAUUUCGCUAUAUUUCAAUGUACUGUUUCAGUAUAUUUCAGUGUACUGUUUCUGUA